rnacentral:rRNA from 1 species
GUUUUACCUUGACGAAUUGUAGUUUAAAGAAGUGUUUUCUGUUGAAGUUUUGGUAAAAGUUCUUUGGAAUAGGACAUCAUAGAGGGUGAGAAUCCCGUAUUUGACCAUUAUUUUCAGCUGUGUGACACACUUUCAAAGAGUCGGAUUGUUUGGGAAUGCAGUCCAAAAUGGGUGGUAAAUUUCAUCUAAAGCUAAAUAUUGGCGAGAGACCGAUAGCGAACAAGUACCGUGAGGGAAAGAUGAAAAGAACUUUGAAAAGAGAGUUAAACAGUACGUGAAAUUGUCAAAAGGGAAGCGUUUGACACCAGUGUUGUUUUCUCGAAAAUCAAUUAAAAAAAGUUGGAUUUUGUGUUGUAUUGACCUUAACAGCUUUCUGCACUCUUUUCCUGCUUUUUUU